rnacentral:sRNA from 1 species
AUCUACCCCGGAACACUCCGGUUUCUGUGCGCCGUCCGCAGCCACCUCCGAUUGCUCGCUACGCGUUGUCAGCC